UGACUGAGAUGAACGUGGACUGCAGGGAGAGGAGAGUGUGAAAAACAUGAAACAAAAGGAAGAAUGUGAGGGGUCAGCAGAGGAGAGAGCCAAACAUUCAGCCCUUAUCGGCCAGCACCCUCCUCGCCCCAGCUUACCAGAACUUGAAGAUGAUGCCAGUGGCCACAAGAACGAUGAUGAUAGAGAUGCUUUACCCAGAAUUUUUAGCUCCUUUCCUCCCAAAUCCUUCUCCACUUUCUCAAACCUGGAUACAUGUGAU